rnacentral:rRNA from 1 species
UGGUGGAGUGAUUUGUCUGGUUAAUUCCGUUAACGAACGAGACCUUCGUCUGCUAAAUAGUGUUGCGCAUCUUCGGAUGCUCAGUUCACUUCUUAGAGAGACUUCAUGGGUUUACCAUGAGGAAGUUGGAGGCAAUAACG